AUUGAACGCUGACGGCAGGCUUAACACAUGCAAGUCGAGCGAGGGGCGGACGGGUGAGUAAUGUCUGGGAACCUGCCUGAUGGAGGGGGAUAACUACUGGAAACGGUAGCUAAUACCGAAUACAAUCAGAUGUGCCCAGAUGGGAUUAGCUAGGAGGUGGGGUAAUGGCUCACCGCGGCGACGAUCCCUAGCUGGUCUGAGAGGAUGAACAGCCACACUGGAACUGAGACACGGCCCAGACUCCUACGGGAGGCAGCAGUGGGGAAUAUUGCGCAAUGGGCGCAAGCCUGAUGCAGCCAUGCCGCGUGUGUGAAGAAGGCCUUCGGGUUGUAAAGCACUUUCAGCGAGGAGGCGUUACUCGCAGAAGAAGCACCGGCUAACUCCGUGCCAGCAGCCGCGGUAAUUC
rnacentral:rRNA from 1 species